rnacentral:lncRNA from 1 species
AAUAAUGGAUGUUGUAUUUUGCAUUUUUCCUUAUCGUCACAGAAAUUGUUAUGAUAAUAAUUUCAAUGAAGAAUAUUCAAAAUUCAGCAUGGGAUCCAGUGCAUAAAUAUGAGCUCAUGGAGAAUCCAGGGCAUCUCAGGGAGCCUGGCUGAGAAGACUGUGCAUGAGUCAACCACAAGGCAGUAAGGACAUGGAGAGUCCUGGGACCAGAGCUGUCAUUAACAAACACAGCAGAGCAGUUCAUUCAUUUAACUAACAUAUGCAAACUUUACUCCUGCAGUGUGUAGCCAUAAACCAGAGAGCAUACUCUUCUAGAAUAACUAUUACUGCAGACCCAAAGGCAAGGAAUGAAACCACUCAUGGACCAAAACCUUCAGAACUGUGAACCAAAAUAUGCUUUUCUUUAUGUCUCAUCCCUCACUUUAAUCAUAUGCAAGUCCAUUAUGCAUAGACGGAAGACGGUAAGUAGAACAUUCUCCCUAAAAGUUCCUUUGAGGACACGGUUUUGCCUUGCUGCAAAAGAACAACAAAAACCUAAUCCAAGCCAGAUGGGUCUUUCCAUUCUUCCUACCAGAUACGCAGGGAAUAUACAUGACCAAAAAGUGUCUAAAUUUGAUUGGGUAGGGAAAGCUGUGACUGCAUGAAGGUGGGGGUUCUGAGAUUGCUAGGGGAGUUGUUUGGGGGAGUAAAUGCAUAGUAUGUG